rnacentral:tRNA from 1 species
CCGCCCUUAGCUCAACUGGAUAGAGCACUCGCCUUCUAAGCGAUAGGUUGCAGGUUCGAGUCCUGCAGGGCGGGCCA